AUUGAACGCUGGCGGCAUGCCUUGCACAUGCAAGUCGAACGGCAGCACGGGAGACAAUCCGUGGUGGCGAGUGGCGAACGGGUGAGUAAUAUAUCGGAACGUGCCGGUCGUGGGGGAUAACCGUAGCGAAAGACUACCGCUAAUACCGCAUACGAUCUACGGGAGUGAAAGCGGGGGAUCGCAAGACCUCGGCGCGGAUUGGAGCGGCCGAUAUCAGAUUAGGUAGUUGGUGAGGUAAAGGCUCACCAAGCCGACGAUCUGUAGCUGGUCUGAGAGGACGACCAGCCACACUGGGACUGAGACACGGCCCAGACUCCUACGGGAGGCAGCAGUGGGGAAUUUUGGACAAUGGGCGCAACGCCUGAUCCAGCAAUGCCGCGUACAGGAUGAAGGCCUUCGGGUUGUAAACUGCUUUUGUACGGAACGAAACGGUGAGCUCUAAUACAGUUUGCUAAUGACGGUACCGUAAGAAUAAGCACCGGCUAACUACGUG
rnacentral:rRNA from 1 species